UUUUUUUUUGUUUUAAUUGAGCGUGACCUUAUUUUAGAUUGAGGCGUGCCAUAUCAGCAAACUUAAUUUAUGGCCCUCUUAAGAUUAGAUCAAGGCUUCUUUAAUAAAGAGAUGAAGGUGUGCCAUAAGCAAGUUAAAUCAUCCAUAGCCCUCACACAUGUCAUAAUUUAAAUAUUAAAAAUGAACUCCGUAGUUUGCUUUAGGCGCAUUGAAUAUAUAAUUAUCAUGACUAUUAAAAUCUGGGGGUGCAUUUUAUGUGACUCGGUUCUAAUUUUCAACAAGGUUAAAUAGAACGUGUUGUGACUCACGGGUGCAUUUCAUGUAGCGUGGCUUGCGAUGUGUUUUAAAUAAAUUACUUCUUUAAAUAGGUAAAAGCGGUUUUCAAAAGUUAAAAAUGCUCAUAGGUUUUAAAGUGUUUUAAAAUCAGAUAAAUAGGCCAAUAAUAAUAGUUGAACGACUGUGCUAGAACCACUGAACCCGGGAAUGCCUAACACCUUCUCCAGGGUUAACAGAAUUCCUUACCCGGAUUUCUGUGUUCGCAGACUAUAAAAUAGAGUCAAUCUUUCCUCGAUUCGGGAUUUAAAACCGGUGACUUGGGACACCAUAAAUUAUCCCAAGUGGUGACUCUGAUUCUUAAAUAAUUAAUCCCAUUUCGAUUGUCACUUAAAUUGAAAAAAAAUUCCCUUAUACCCUUUGGGGGGUAGUUAAAAGGAGGUGUGACAGCUCAGGCGACUCUGUUGUGGAUCGAGCCCAGAAUCUCUGGUUUAGGGUUCAAUAAUUCAAGCUUGGAAUAAUUGUUAUAUUUGGCUUUGUUUAUUAUCUGGUUUUAUUCACACGUUUGAGCCUAAUGUGCUAAAUGUUGCUUUUUACCGCUUUGAUAUUGUUGAAAUGUAUAUAAACUAUUACGAAACCCUCCUCUCUCUGAGUCUUCUAAAUCAUCUGGGAAGUGUGCACUUCGUGUGACUUCUUUUCUGUUAGAUUCAUAUCCUAAUUUAGAACGAGGUUCGGACAAGUUGCAAAGCCGAUGAAGCUUCUAUAUUCCCGGUACGCUGCACCCCUUGGCUCGAGCAGUCCGCUUGGGUAAGCCAGGUCUAGAACAAAUAAACCUGGGUUUUUCAAACCUAGUAUAACAUAGCCUAAUGCCGGAUCCCUAGUAGGAACGCUUGUUUGCAUCACGUGCAUUUGACUUUGGGGACUCAACACAGGGGUUCGGUCCGUCUAGGAAAGGUGCACCCAAAUUUAAAAGACCAUCCUGAUACAUUUUACUUGCUACUUGCGCAUUUAUUUGACUCAGAUUGCAUGUUGACCGGCUUCUAGAAUAAGGGAGAGAAAAUUGAGAAAAACCCAAAUUGAGGUGAGAGAGAGGAAAUUACCCGCCUGUGAAAAACCUUGUGUCAAAAAUACCCCGAAACUCUAUCAAAAUUUUCAGAAAAAGAAAAAAAGUAAAAAGAGCUAUUUCAAAAAGUUUGUGUUUUCUGUUGCGUUAAAAUUGACCGAACUACGCAAGUUUGAUUCUCACCGGANNNNNNNNNNNNNNNNNNNNNNNNNUUUUGCAAAAAUAACCCCCAAAAAAAUAUAUGAAGUGUCGUUGUUUUGUCAUAAAUAAAUUAUGAUACCGUCCUUGUACAGAAUAGCCAAAAUGCCCAAAGGGGCACCGAAAUGCAGUUUUUGCAAGAAUAGCCUCCUAGGGUCCUUUUUCAAAUUUUGGUUGAUUAAAAAAAACAGUCCUAAAAAAAUAUUUUCUUUCUUGAGGUGUUGCAAAAAAAUGUUUUUUUUAUUUUGUGAAAAUUGGUGCUCUUCUCUUAAGUCAAAGUAAACCAUAGUCUUUUAAUCAGUCACCUUAAAUAAAUGUGUAUGAUGAGCACAAUUGAAAAUGAACCUUUCACAGUCCGCGAGGAAAUCCCGUUAGAACUACAUAUGUGGUGGAAUAAUUUGGGAGAAGUCAGCAGAAAAACUGUGAUAAAAGCUUUGGGUAGUCUUGUUGGGCUUCUGAAGAUCAAGCCGAGGAAGGAUAUAAUUGAGGCCUUGACACCCUUCUGGGACCCAGCGCAUAAUGUAUUCCAUUUUGCUGAUUUUGAGCUAACCCCUACGCUUGAGAAAAUAGUGGGCUACGCUAGUUUUAGUGGGAAUCUCAGAAAUUAAUACCCGGUGGCACCCAGAACAGUGACUCCUCACAAAUUUCUGGACCUUUUAAGCAUCGGUCGGGAAGUUCAAGAUGCAAAUUUGGCCAAGGUAUUAUGUACAUUCUACUUCUUGUACCAACGUUACGGGAAUCCUUACGGUUUUGAGAUGCCAGAUACCGGUCUUACUCAUUCGGGGAACAAAGAUAAGUGGGAAGCUCGACGGGGAUUGGCUUUUAUAGUGGCAUUCCUGGGUGUUUUGAUUUGUCCAAGAAAAGAUGGAAACAUAGAAUUGGGGCUUGUGGGAAUAGCCGACUUCAUGAUUAAAAAGGCAAAUGGCACCAUUGUACGGAUGAUUAUGGCGGAAAUCUACCAAGCCUUAACUAUUUGCAGAGAAGGAGGAAAGUUUUUUGAAGGAUGCCAUAUGCUUCUACAACUCUGGAUGGUGGAGCACCUUUGCCACCGCCCGGGGUACAUNNNNNNNNNNNNNNNNNNNNNNNNNGAACUGUGGCAUGACCAGUCUUACAUGCAUUGAAAAACAUGAACAACGGGUGGAGGGCUAUGAGUUUCCGGAUGGUACGGAAGUAUGGUUUGCACAUCUGAGCUCCCUGACUGCAAACAAGAUCGAAUGGACAUUCAGGUGGCUCUCGGUUAGUGAAGUCAUUUAUAUUUCGGUUGAGGUGUGUUUUCUUCUAUUGAUGGGUCUCCAGAGCAUUCAACAUUAUGCCCCGCACAGGGUUCUAAGCCAGUUGGUAGGUACCAGACCAUCAUCCCACAUGAUGAGGAUUUGAGUCGGCAGGUCAUCAAACUGGAACCAAAAGUUGCUUUCCCGGAAGAAAGGGUGCGUCGUAUUUGGCAUCAAUGUAGGUUCAUAGAGCCAAAGACUCAGGUAUGAGAUCUAUCUAGAGGCGAGUUGGAGCCUAGUUACACAUCUUGGUACGGUAAAAGGUCCCAAGUCUAUCAAGAGCCCGAACAGCCCGCAAAAAGGCCCCAUGUCCAACAAUUCACUGAUGGAGCGCAGGAGCAAUAGGAUUUGUUGGCAAAAGAGGCAAACCACAGAGCCACCAUAAGCAAAUUGGAGGGAUAGAUUCGGGAUCUUAAAUUUGACAAAAGUGUACAGGCCGCCGCCGACAAAGGGAAGAAGAAGAAAUUGGCUCAAGAAAACAAGGCCCUUCGAGCACAGAUCCAAAAAAUGAAAAUAGCUGCCGAGAAUCAGGAAAGGAGCCGAAAGGAUGAAAGACUCAUAAGUGGCCUCAAGAGGAAAAUAGCUGAGUAUGAGGAUGAUCUGGAAAAAUCUGAGGGUAAUUUGGCAAGGGCCCGAGCACAGUUAACGAAGAACGCAGAGGGACGAGCAGAGUUUAUUCGGCAACUAAAAAAGAAAUAUGAGGGAGAAGACACCAAGCUGAAGAAACAACUAACUAUCCUCGAAAAUGAGAUGGCCAAACAAGCUAAGAACUUUAAAUCAGAAAGAGAACAUUGCUAUGCAUUAAUGUCCCAGCUAGAGGGAGAUAUGCAACCAUUGCAAGGCCAAAGCCAUCAUGAUGCCCAGGAACUAGAAGCUAUGUCUCAACAAAUAAGGUGUUUGCUCCAAGAAAAGGGUAUCAUCAGGGAGAGGGUUAGAGCUAUUGCUGACUACAUCGUCAUGAAGUGCCAUGAAUGUGAAGACAUGACUAGAACCACCUUCUUUGCUGCGGUAAUGAUCUUUGUUCAUCAAAUAAUGAGCGACCUGGAGCACCUUCAAGGGGAUCUUGCGCAUAGGCCCGUGGCGAGACCGACUGAUGUCCCGCGGGCCCCUGGAGUAAUUAAGGCAUUGAUGUAUUCAUGAUUUUCAUUUGAGUCUAUAUUUUCAUUUUUCUUUGUUGGAGUCUGUUAGUCUGUUUUCGAGUUUGCACUUUUAAAUUUCUAUUGGAGUCUGUUAGUCCCUUUUUUUCGAGUCUGUUAGUUUUUAUGAUUAAAUUCUAUAGGAUGAGUCGUUGUAAUCAAGACGUUUUUAUUUUUGUGAAAAUUUGAAAACCCCAAAAAUGCUUGUUUUAUUUUUAUUUUUACACUUAUCCCCCAGAAUUACGCUUGGUCUAAUUCAUGCGGCAUCAUGAUACGUAUGCAAUUCCCAUAGGAUUCGAUCAUAACCGUGAAAUAAAAAGAAGAAAAAGACAGAAAAAGGAGAGAAAACAAGAGAAUUGCCGGAGGGAAAUAAUAGCACAACAAAAGAGGAAAAUGAGGGAAUAAAAGAAAAAUAAGAAUCAAGCAAAGAAAAGCAGGAAUGAAAAAAGAGAGAUGUAGCAAAAUAAAAAUUAGGGAAAGCCGGGAUGACGCAAGCAACCGAUCAAAUGUAUAAUAGAUAUGGUUAACAGCUUAGGAGCAUUGCAUUCCCAACGUGUGGUUGCCUAUCUGUUAAGCCCUAAUCGCUAACAAGUUUGUUGUUGUCAUCAAGUCCAGGCAUGUGGUUAGUUCGUUUGGCAUUCUGGCAACUCAUCCGUACAACACCAGGUCCAAAGACAAGUUGAUCAUGGCUAACCAAGAAAUGGAUACAAGUGUUAUUGACCCAUCAAGAGAGGGGGAUGAGUCUGAUGUUAACCUGAAAGAGGAGUUGUAUAAGUUGAAACAUCAGAUGGUAGAGAUGUACCAGGCAUGGGUAAAAGGGAAUCCACCACCAUCCUACCCCGCCAACCCUGCUUUUGUCCCGCCACUGGCUCAAUACCAAGAACCUCCCACUGUUGAUUUAUCUCCAGGCUUCCCUAUUUACCACCACUACCAGGGUGCCACUUCCCAAAUACCACAAGCUCCACCACCCAAACCAAAUCCAUACCCUCCUCCACCAGCCACCCCUGUUUUCGUGGCACCCCCAUCCGCUACACUCUACCGAUCCUCCAGUUAGCCUUUAUUCCAAACCCAAGAUAACCAAUACUAUCCCACAGAGCCUACUUUCAAGGCCGCAGAACCUUAAUCUUACACUCCUCAUUUCGACCUCCCUGUCGAGACUGAGAAACCACCUAAAAACCCAGAACAUGAGGAGAUGUUCAGGAAGGUUAGAAGCUUGGAACAGUCGUUCAGAAACAUGCAGGGACUGGGAGGCCAGGUGAGCGUGGCCUACAAAGAUUUGUGUCUAUUUCCCAAUGUUCAGUUGCCAGUGGGAUUUAAGAUGCCAAAGUUUAAUUUGUGUGAUGGGCACGGAGACCCGGUGGCCCACUUGAGAGGAUUUUGUAGUAAAAUGAGAGGAGCCAUCGGGAAAGAUGAGUUAUUGAUGGCAUACUUUAGCUAGAGUCUGAGUGGCUUGGCAUUGGAGUGGUACACUCGUCAGGAUCACAGCAGAUGGUAUACUUGGGAUGAUUUGGCCCAAGCAUUCGCCCAUCAUUUCCAGUACAACAUUGAGAUUGUUCCAGAUCGUUUGUCUUUGACUAAGAUUUAGAAGAAUCCUAGUGAAAGUUUUAGAGAAUAUGGUUUUCGCAGAUGGAGGAGAGCAAAAUGGUGGAGUAUUUUUUGUAGGCUUUGGAGUUUAACUAUUUUGGCCAUCUGAUAUCGGCCAUAGGCAAAUCUUUCAACGAGAUAGUAAAGAUGGGUGGCAUGGUUGAAGAAAGGCUUAAAUCAAGCAAAAUCAUAAGUUACUCGGCUAUCAAGGCAACUACCCAAGCCAUCCAGAACGGUACUGGAGGAGUGAUUGGAAAGAAGAAGAAAGAAGAUGUGGCGACAAUUGAUUCAGGAUCAUGGUUUGAACCUAGUGGCCUAUCACACCAAUAUACCCAGACUCGGCCCCAUCACCGAAGCUACACCCAACCCCCAUAUAAUCCAUCCCAGCACUACUUCCCAUCACCAGCCCCUUAUAUUUCUAUCCACCACGUCCAAACAUAUACUCAACCUCCUGCCUACACACAGUAGCGUGCCCCAGCCUCACAAAACACCUACCCAGCUGCAGAAAAUGCUUACCCACCCCCACGAGCCUACCGAAACCCUACCGACCCAGGUUUUCGACCCAAUCCAGCAUUCAAAAAUGAGAGGUUAUAGCGGAAGAAAACUUUCACCCCGUUGGGGGAGUCUUAUACCAACUUAUUCCAUAGAUUGAGGCAGUUGGAUAUGUUGAGGCCAAUUGAGUCGAAAUUGCCAAAUCCUCCUUUAAAGAACCUUGAUUACUCCGUGAGCUAUGAAUAUUGUUCUGGUACUCCGAGGCAUGAUACGGAGAAGUGCUGACACUUGGAAAAUGCCAUCCAGGAGCUCAUUGACAUAAGCCUGAUUGAAGUCCAAACUCCAAAGGCACCCAACAUCAACCAGAACUUACUACCAACCCAUCAGGAGACAAACAUGAUUGAGAUAGUACGUAAGGGAGGGGAGCCCAAGAAGACUUCACAGACCGUCAUGAUGAUUCGGUCCAGUGAUGUCAAGUCAGUCAGAAAAACAACGGUUGAAGGAUCAGUGAACAAGUUGAGCAUGAAAGCGGUGAACCAUCUGUGGUACCUAAGAAAGGAUAGCCAAGUGAUGUUAUAGCAAAGCAAGAAAAGUCAAAAGUGGUUGUGCCAGGAGUGGCCAACAAGCCUAUCAGAAUUAUGGAGGGUGCCCGUACAAAUCCUGUCAUCAUCAAGCCUGUAACCCAAUUGCCGGUAAUCAGCACCAAGGCCAUCCCAUAGAACUAUGAACGGGUGAUAGUGACCUAUAAGGGAAAGGAAGUGAAAGAAGAAGUCAAUAAGUCCCAGAGAGUAACUCGUUCGGGGAGAUACUUUGUCCUGGAAGAGUUAAGGAGAGCUAAAAUAUCCAGAGAUAACCCAAUUCUAGUGAAGAAAGCAGUAACUGAAGAAGAGGCGGAGGAAUUUCUGAGAAAAAUGAAGGUACAAGAUUAUUCCAUUAUGGAGCAGUUGAGAAAGACGCCUGCUCAGAUUUCAUUGUUAUCAUUGUUAAUCCACUCAGAUGAGCAUCAUCGGGACCUGAUGAAAAUUCUGAACGAGGCUCACGUACCUAAUAAAAUUUCAGUGAACUAUCUGGAAAAGAUCGCCAACAAAAUAUUUGAGGUGAACAAGGUCACCUUCUCUGAUGAUGAGUUGCCUGUGGAAGGUACUGAACACAACAGAGCUCUUUAUCUUAUGGUAAAAUGUGAAGAUUUUGUGUUACCAGGGUAUUAGUUGACAAUGGGUCCAGUGCAAACAUCUGCCUACUCUCUACUCUGAACAAGUUGAAAGUUGAUGAUGAGAGGAUUCACAAAAACAGCAUAUGCGUCCGAGGUUUUGAUAGUGGAGGAAAAUACUCGGUCGGUGAUAUAGUGCUUGAGUUGACAAUAGGACCGGUGGAAUUCACCAUGGAGUUCCAGGUGUUGGAUGUGGCUGUCUCCUAAAAUUUGCUAUUAGGUUGCCCUUGGAUUCAUGUCGCUAAAACAGUCUCGUCCACUCUGCACCAGAUGGUCAAGUUCGAAUGGGAUAUGCAGGAGAUCAUCGUGCAUGGUGAAGAUAAUUUGUAUGCUCACAUUGAUGCCUCUAUCCCGUUCAUUGAGGUAUAAGAUGACAAAGGGCCCUAGGUCUAUCAUGUUUUCGAAACAGUGCUGGUUGAGAAAGUUCCAAAAGGGAAAUGUGUUCCAACUCAAAAGAUAACCUCCACAUUAGUCAUGGUGGCCUUUGAAAUGCUGAAAAAUGGCUUCGUGCCAGGUAAAGGUCUGGGUGCAUCUCUGCAGGGUAUCAUACAGCCAGUGUCCCUCCAUGAGAAUUUGGGUACGUUCGGUAUUUCUAUUCAAACCUACAGCGGCAGAUGUGAAACAGGCUAAAAGGUUGAAACAGAAGGCAUGGGCACUUCCAAAGCCUUUUCUAUGUCUCUCCAAGUCUUUUGUCAAGCCCGGUCACCCAGUGACGACAGUUCCAAGUUCUGUGGUUGACAUUGAUGAAGAGUUAAUUGAAAGGUUCCAGAGGUUAUUUGAUGAUGUGAACAUGGUGGAAGUUGGAGAAGGUUCUAGCAAACCGGAAGUGCAGUUCGUCGGGCCUAAUGCAAAGCUUAACAAUUGGAAGGCUACUCCUCUAACUACCAGGAAGAAGUCUUGGUAAUUUGUUUUGUUUUCCUUUCUAUCUGGGUCAUUCCAGGGUUGUGACCUAGAUUUUUAUUUUUUGCUUGUUGAUGUACAAACCCUGUUUUCCUUUAUUUUCAGUGAAAUGCAAUUUCCCUUUUCCAUCAUUCCUGAUAGUUUUAUUUUUGUUUUUCUUUUCUUCUUUGUACAGUUCUUUUUUAUGCUGGUUUCAAUAACAUGACAUGCAUGAGGAAUCUUCGGCCCAGUCUUAAAAGUCAAUCUAAUUUUGAAAUAAUAAUCCAAGAAAUAGAGUGAGACGAUGAAUCAGAAUAUGAUGAGGAUGAGGCCUUUAAAGAGAUUAGUUAGGAAUUAAGCCAUUUUGAAGAAAAACUCAUGCCUAACCUGAAUGAUACAGAAGCAAUCAAUCUAGUGGAUCCAGAUAAUGUCAGAAAAACUAAGAUAUGCGUCCAUCUUAAACCACAAAUCAGGGAAGAUAUAAUUAAAGCAUUGUUUGAGUAUAAGGAUAUUUUUGCAUGGUCGUAUGAUGAUAUGCCAGGUUUAAGUAUCGAUUUUGUGGUCCAUAAACUGCCAAUUGAUCCAACAUUCCCUCCCGUCAAGCAGAAGUUGAGAAAUUUCAAAACUGACAUGAGUGUAAAGAUUAAAGAAAUGGUCACAAAGCAGCUUGAUGAAAAGGUCAUUUGGGUCACGCGGUAUCCCACGUGGUUAGCCAAUGUUGUGCCUGUGCCAAAGAAAGAUGGUAAGACUAGAGUGUGUGUUGAUUACCGUGAUCUCAACAAGGCAAGUCCAAAGGACAACUUCCCAUUGCCAAAUAUCUAUAUUUUGAUCGAUAAUUAUGCCAAGCAUGAGAUUGGGUCUUUUGUGGAUUGCUACGGGGGCUAUCAUCAGAUUUUGAUGGAUGAGGAAGAUGCGGAAAAAAUGGCCUUCAACACGCUGUAGGGAACAUACUGUUACCGGGUCAUGCCUUUCGGUUUGAAAAAUGCUGAGGAAACUUACGUGAGGGAAAUGACAACCAUAUUCCAUGACAUGAUACACAAAGAGAUUGAGGUUUACGUGGAUAAUGUGAUCGUAAAGUCCCGGAAGCAGUCUGACCACAUCAAAAAUUUGAGGAAGUUUUUCCAAAGGCUUUGCAGGUACAAUCUUAAGCCCAACCCUGCAAAGUGCGCAUUUGGUAUUCCUUCGGGGGAAUUGUUGUGAUUCAUAGUCAGUCGACGGUGCAUUGAAUUGGAUCCAUCAAAGAUUAGAGCUAUCCAGGAACUGCCCCCGCCAAAGAAUAAGACUGAGGUGAUGAGUCUUUUAGGGAGGCUGAACAUCAGUAGGUUUAUCGCUCAGCUCACGACAACUUGUGAUCCCAUCUUCAAGUUGCUAAAAAAGGAUGUUGCGGUCAAAUGGACCGAUGAGUGCCAUGAAGCCUUUGAUAAGAUCAAUGAGUAUUUGUCGAACCCACCUGUGUUGGUCUCACCAGAACUAGGAAGACCUUUGAUUCUUUAUUUGACAGUCUUGGAUAAUUCAUUUGGAUGUAUAUUGGGUCAACAUGACAUCACUGGUAGGAAAGAGCAGGCCAUUUAUUAUCUCAGCAAGAAGUUCAUAUCUUUUGAGGUUAAGUAUACUCCCCUUGAGAGGACGUGUUGUGCCCUGACUUGUGUAGCACAGAAGUUGAAGCAUUACUUGUCGUCCUACACUACUUACCUCAUUUCUCGCCUGGAUCCUCUAAAGUAUAUCUUUCAGAAGCCCAUGCCCAUAGGAAGGCUAGCAAAGUGGCAGAUCUUGCUCAUAGAGUUUGACAUCGUAUAUGUGAAUCAGACAGCGAUGAAAGCCCAAGCUUUGGCUGAUCACUUGGCCAAACACCUGGUAGAUGAAGAAUAUGAACCUUUGAGGACUUACUUCCCUGAUGAAGAGGUAAUGCGUAUCGACGAGGUCGAAAAGGAGGAAAAGCCUGGUUGGAAACUCUUCUUUGAUGGGGCUGCUAACAUGAAAUGUGUCGGGAUAGGAGCUGUACUCAUUUCUGAAAUUGGGCAUCACUACCCGGUUACGGCUCAACUUUGUUUCUAUUGUACCAACAACAUGGCUAAGUACGAGGCAUGCAUUUUGGGUUUAAGGCUAGCUAUAGAUAUGGGAAUCCAAGAAGUCUUGGUCUUGGGAGACUUGGACCUUCUGGUGCACCAGAUUCAAGGAGAAUGGGAGACACGAGAUUUAAAACUUAUACCGUAUCGACAAUGUCUGCACGACCUUUGUCAACGGUUUUGAUCUAUAGAAUUCAGGCACAUUCCAAGGAUCCAUAAUGAGGUUGCUGAUGCCUUGGCUUCCUUGGCGUCAAUGUUGCACUAUCCGGACAAAGCGUAUGUUGACCCUUUGCAUAUUCAGGCCCGCAAUCAGCAUGCUUAUUGUAAUGUGAUUGAAGAAGAACUUGAUGGUGAACUAUGGUUUCAUGACAUCAAGGAGUAUAUUAGGAUGGGGGUGUAUCCAGUACAAGCCACAGGGGAUCAGAAAAUAACAAUUUGUCGUUUGGCUAGUGGAUAUUUCUUCAAUGAAGGAGUUUUGAACAAAAAAACUCAUGAUCUUGGAUUGUUAAGAUGGAUAGAUGCUAGACAAACCACAUCUAUCAUGACCGAAGUACAUUCCGAGGUUUGCAGGCCGCAUAUGAGUGGAUAUGUUCUGGCAAAGAAGAUUCUCCGAGCAGGUUAUUAUUGGCUCACCAUAGAGCGAUAUUGCAUCAGUUUUGUGUGCAAGUGUCAUCAAUGUCAGGUACAUGGAGAUUUGAUUCAUUCCCCUCCGUCUGAAUUGCACACAAUGUGCGCACCAUGGCCCUUUGUUGCUUGGGGUAUGGAUGUCAUCAGACCAAAUGAGCCAGCAACAUCCAAUGGGCAUAGGUUCAUUCUGGUAGCCAUUGACUAUUUCACUAAGUGGGUUGAGGCUAAAACUUUCAAGUCGGUAACCAAGAAGGCAGUGGUCGAUUUUGUUCAUUCAAAUAUCAUUUGUCGGUUCGGAAUCCCAAAGGUGAUCAUCAAAGAUAAUGGGGCAAAUCUUAACAUUCAUCUGAUGUAAAAAGCAUGUCAACAGUUUAAGAUUACGCAUCGCAAUUCCACCCCAUAUCGCCCCAAGGCGAAUGGAGCAGUCGAGGCAGCCAACAAGAACAUAAAGAAGAUACUUCGAAAAAUGGUGUAGGGUUCCAGACAAUGGAAUGAAAAGUUUCCCUUUGUGUUGUUGGGUUAUCGCACUACUGUUCGCACUUCAGUAGGUGCAACUCCUUAUCUGUUGAUAUAUGGCACUAAGGCGGUGAUACCUGCAGAAGUUGAAAUUCUAUCCCUUCAGAUUGUUGCUGAAGCUGAGAUUGAUGAUGAUGAGUGAGUCAAAGCCCGUCUAAAGCAAUUGAGUUUGAUUGAUGAAAAAAGAUUGACAGCAGUGUGUCAUGGCCAGUUGUAUCAAAAGAUAAUGGCGAGAGCAUACAACAAAAAGGUGCGUCCCAAGAAAUUUGAAGUGGGUCAGCAAGUAUUGAAACGCAUCCUUCCACAUCAAGCUGAAGCGAAAGGCACGUUCUCCCCAAAUUGGCAGGGGCCGUUCAUCGUAACGAGAGUGUUGUCCAACGGUGCUUUGUAUUUAACAGAUAUAGAAGGCAAAUGUGUAGAUAUGGCUAUCAAUUCUGAUGUAGUCAAAAGAUAUUAUGUAUGAUUUCUUUGGUUUAAAUUAUGUUUGUUUGUACUUGGCAUGUUGGAAUGAUGAAGACAUUUUGUUUUGCUAUCUAAACACUUUAUCCUUUGUUACCCUUUUUGAGCCUUAUUUAUUUUCUUUCAUACCCCUCUUUUGGAAUCAGUAGCGAAAUUUAGAAAACACGAAAGCAAAAGAUAAGUAAAGAAGUAAAGAAGGAAAGAAGAGAGAAAAGAAAAGAAAAAUGGAAAAGAAUGAAAAGAAAGAUAGAAAGAAGAAAGAAAGAGAAAAAAAAGAAGAGAAAAGGAAAGAGAAGUAACAACAACAAAGUAAUUCCUAUGUCAUGAACUACGUUCCACCUGAUUCUUUUUAAGGAUACGUAGGCAGCCUCAUGGUUCGGUCCCAUCAAAAUAAAAAUUCAAAAGUCCCCAAGUAAAGAAACUAGGGCAGGAGUUGUGGUUGCUGUUAGAUAUCUGAUUCCAAAAGUUGUAAUUUUGAACCCAUUCAAGCUGUUUUGAGCCUUUGUGACACCCUUUCUUUCUAACCCUAUCCAAAAGCCUACAUUCUAGUCCAAAGAAAGUUUUUCCGAUCAGUCCUCGAGAGAUGCCAAGUCAAGCAAGUAGAGAUGAUUCAUAUCAGGGGCAACACUCCGUUUUGAGCAAGAAAAUAAAAAAUGAGAGUCUUAUUGGUGAAAACCCUUACGAGCACCAUAAGACGAUGGAAAGCUGAGAGAAAUUAAAAUGAGAGAGUCUUAUUGGUGAAAACCCUCACGGGCACUGUAAGGCGACAAUGAGUUGAGNNNNNNNNNNNNNNNNNNNNNNNNNCAAAGACAGUGAUUUGGCGAAGAAAUUGGGUCAUGGAGAUCUCGGGGCAUAAAGUAUGACAACUGAAAGGUGAUUGGUUGAAUAGGCUGGGCUGAUUAACCCGAGAUGCAUGUCAUGAUCAUUGGCGCCAGUUUUUCCACUCAGAUAAGCCUCUUUUAUUUUUCCCCUUUUAAACAGUCAUCCAAUUUUAGAUUUUCUUUUAUCCCUAACUCUCAAAGUCAUUGCAUUUCAUUUCUUUCAGGUUUAUUUCUCUAAGGUUUUUUCAAUGUCAUCCUUGUUUAAGCAAGUAAGAAAGGAUUUCAAAGAUUACUACCAAUUUCCAAGUUGCACAAGGCACAACGCAGCCAAAGCAUACCAGAGAUAGCAUGGUGUAAAGUGGGAAAUAAGGUGUUAGUGAAAGUUCCAUUGGUCGAAGGGUUUAGUAAUCUUGUAGGAGAUACAGAGGUUCAGGUAGAAAGGUCAUAAAUAUAAAGCAACGGUUUGGGCGUAGAACACUCGGGUCAUCCAAAGUCUCACGAUUGAGAGUGAGUCAGAAAGUCAAGCAGUUCUUGGCCAGUUCAAGGCAACUAGUCAAAGCAAAGCACGACAGUGGAGAGGCCACCUUCAGCAAGAAUGCCACAAACUAACCACCAUAUUUUAAACUGACAAGAUUUUUCUUUGAUUUGAAACAGGGGCAGAACAUUCUUUUGUUUAUGAGAAACCUUCCGUAAAGAAAGCAAGUACCAGAUAGGUUCGAUCGUAAAUUCGCAGGACCCUCCUGGACAAUGGGACCUAGUUAAAAUGCAAAUCAUCCAUUAGAUAACAAGAUCUAGCAUAAGUUUUACCUUGAGGAAAUAUAAGUUGGCUUUGAAGUUUUCAUUAUUAGGAUAGGAUUCAAUUUCAAAUCUUCAGGACCCUCCUGAAUAAUGGGACUUAGCUUGAGACCUCCAGUAGAUAACAAAAUUUAGCGUAAGUUCUGCCAUAGAAAAAUAUAAUUUAGCCUUAAAGUUGUCACUCUUAAGAUGAGAUUUGAUUUUAAUUUUUAGGACCCUCCUAAAUAUUUGAAUUUAGUUCAAGAUCAUCAGAGAUAACAAGAUUUAGCAGAAGUCAUACCUUUAGGAAAUAUCAUGUAGCUUAAAAACUGUCAGUUAACUAGGAAUUUUCAGGACCCUCCUGGAUAAUGGGAUCUAGCUUUCAAAUUCUUAGAGAUUUUUUGUCACAUAAUGUGCCCAGCUACCAAACUGGGGCAGAAAAUUUUCUUUGUUUUGUCUAUUCUGUUGCAAUCAGGCAUCUACUUGGAGAUCAAGGGAGAACAACACAAGUUUCAAGAAUGGAAAGCAAUUCAGGCACCCACCUGGAGAAACAAGGGAAGAUAGUUUAAAGGAAAAACAAUCCCAAGAGAAAGUAGUUCAAGUUCAGCAAUCAGGGGCCCCACUUGGAGAGCAAAGAGAAAACAAAUCAAGUUUCGAGGAAAGCAAUUAAAGUUUUGGCAAUCAGGCGCCCACCUGGAGAAUAAAGGGAAAACAAUUCAAGUUUCAAAGGAAAGGAAUACAUUUCAGGUUCAACAGUCAGGAGCCCACCUGAAGAACAAAGGGAAGAGCAGUUGAAGUUUUGGUAAUCAGAAGCCCGCGUGGAGAACAAAGGAAGAGUAGUUGGAGUUUUGGUAAUUAGGAGCCCGCUUGGAGAACAAAUGGAAGAGCAGUUUAAGUGUUGGUAAUCAGGAGCCCACCUGGAGAAAAAAGGGAAAAACAAUUCAAGCAUUGGAAAUCAGGCGCCCACCUAGAGAACAAAGGGAAAGCUAUCCAAGUGUUGGUAAUCAGGAGCCCGCCUGGAGAACAAAGGGAAAAGCAAUCCAAGUGUUGGUAAUAAGGAGUCCACCUGGAGAACAAAGGGAAAAUCAAUUCAAGUGUUGGUAAUCAAGAGCCCACCUAGAGAACAAAGGAAAAUCAAUUCAAGUGCUGGUAAUCAAGAGCUCACCUGGAGAACAAAGGGAAAGCAGUAAUGUUUAAAGGAAGACGGUGCAAGUUCGGCAAUCAGGCGCCCACCUACAAAACAAAGGGAAAACAUGUCAAGUGUCGGAGGAAAGGAAGAUAAUUCAAAUGUUGGUAAUCAGGUGCCCACCUGGAGAACGAAGGGAAAGCACCUAAGAAUAGAAUUUAAGUCAGCAAAAAAGGAAUUUCACCUGGAGAAUACAAGUCAACAGAUCAACAGAAAAUACAAGACCAAGUUUGAAGAUAUAGAUAGGAUUAUUGUAAUUCAUAGAUCAUAGUUUAGUCUUGUUUCUUUUAUUUUGUCUUGGUGUAAUAAGGAGUUCAGCAAGCAGUAGCAGCAAUAACAACAGUGAAAUCAUAGCUUCCUGGUAGUCCCAACUACCGAAACUUCUCAAACUAUACUAACCGGAUUCUUUUAUAUCCAAGGAUAUGUAGGCAACCUCGGAAGCAGGGUGCAGUCAAAUCUUUCCAAAAUUCUUCCCACGGAAUAUUCAAACGAGCAAAAAUCACUCGUAUCCGCUCAUUUUAUCUUUGCACGAAAACUCUUCGUGUUUUCGAGCAAAGAGGGGCAGUUGUGAGCACGUGAUUUUUGCCCUAUAGGAAUUACUCCCAUAAACUCUAAGGAAAUAAUGUUUUCCCAAUAUUUGCAAUUUUUGUAGAUUUUUCAUAGGAUUUUUUGUUAAUUGUUUGCAUUUGUCUGUGCAUGUUUAUUUUUAUUAAAAAUCAUGAAAAAGCCAAAAAUACCAUGCGUUGCAUUUAGGUCAUUUUUAUAUUUUUAAGGUUAAUUAGUCAAUUAUUUUCUUUAUUAAAAUCGAAAAUCAAAAACUGGUUUGUCUUUUGGAUUUUUAGCUUUUUAAUUCUAAAUUAGUAAUAUUUCUUUUUAUAAUUAGGAAUAAUUAAUUUUUACAUAUUUUAUAUUAGAAAAUUAGUUUAAUUUUGUAAAUUAAUUUAAGGAAAAAGUUUUAAGGAAGAAAGAAAAGGGACUGGUCCAAGUUAAUUGGGCCAAAAUCAUUGCUACAGCCCAAAUAAUCUCUACUCAACCCGUCCAAACAACAUCCCAUACCUGGUCCAAAGCCUUCAGGUAUUGAGACCCCUGAAAUGAUGUAGUAUGGGGGAAUACUACGUCGUUUUGAGUUCAAGAGUUUAAAAUUAAUCCUGGCCUUCCAUUUGACUUUAUCCAACGGCCGGGGAAGCCUCCCCAUUUUAAUUAAAAAUGUCCGAAGACCCUUUAGAACAACCUAGGACCGUGUCUUCGUCUCUCUCAGACUCUUCAUCUUUCACUGCCGCCUACCACCAUCAAAACCCAUCUUCACCGCCACCAAAUCACUCCAAAUCUUCACCCUACAAUCCCCAGCCUUCCCUCAUCACUAAUUCCCCAUUAGUUUCCCCAAAAUCACCACCAAAUUUGGCCAGUUUUGGAUUUAAAAAAAGAAGAAAAGAAAAUUCUUCCAAGUCUUCGAGCUCCCAAUAUCGAUUGAGGCUUAAACUGGCAUUGUUCAUCUAUUCUUAACGAGAACACGCAAUUAAUUCCAGUUUUGGUUCAAAUCAGAAACUGUCGGAUAGUCUGUUCAAGCACGUUCGUCUAUUUAUUUUAGGUAUCUCUAUUCAUUUAUUUCCCUGCCUUUGUUCUCUUCUCUCCCCAUUAUUUCUAUUUUUCUGUUUCCUUUUUCUCUUUGACCGGUUAAAAUUCGGAUAGCAGUAGUUGUGAGUAAUUCUGGACUAAUUUUGUCAAAAAUAUUAUAAUUAAUUUUGUUUGUUUGCCUUUAUUUUCAAGAUUUCGAGUUAGCAUUGAAAGAUGAAUGAGUUUUUUUUAUAUGCGAUCGUUUAGGUUUUAAUUUGGUUGGGUCAUAUUGUAAACUUCAAAUGCUCAUGUGGUUGGGUUAAGUUUAGCUUUGGGCUUUUGGGUCAUUUCUGACCCGUUCCAAAGCAGCCCAGGGAUUUUGGUUUAGUUAUUGGUUAACCUGACCCAUGUUGGAUUGCCUGAGGGUAAAUAAUAGAGGGCUAAAGGGUAGUUUAGGAAAUUGGGCAAGGGGAAUCUUCUUUAACUGCUUGGGGAAAUUUCUAAGAAGGUGGGGUUGGGUUUGUUUUAGCAAGCAGACUUUAAUUUUGGGGUUUGAAAUGAAAGAAUAAAAAAUCAAGGAAGGGGUAAUUAGUAAAACUUGAAACCAAUUCUGCUACCCUAGUACCUUCUAUAUAAGCUUUCUUUCAAUUAAAAUAAGCAGGGAUUAGAAUACUAAAAUUCAAAAAACGACUGAAAGAGUUAUUUUGAAAAAUGCAUUGAAAUUCUUGCAUCUUUUGGGGUGGAAAUAGGUUCCGAAUCUGCUCCUUAGUCUUGAGUGUUAAUUGGAAUUCAAAAAGCUUCAAGGAAGUCUUGUUUAUCUGGGUUAAAAUGGUCUAAAGAGUUGAACCUUGCUGUGUUUUGGAGUUGUUGAUUCAUCUACUCUGUUGCUACUGUUGAAUCCUUAUUUUCUUUGGUUUCUUUUGAUAUUCAGGUGCCCCUUUUGGACCUUAUUGAAGCUCAAAAUUGAAGCAUGUAAUCAAAUGUGGAGUUUAACCAUGAUAUUAGCAGAUUUUGUCUAGAAUCUAGCUUGUUUUUCUGCACUACAUUGGGUUUUAUUGUAUGAUCUAUGGAAUUUACACAUGUUGCUGACAGUACUUUUGAGGCAGUGUUAAACUUUAGCUUAGCAUGUAGGUUUAGUUUUUGGUUAAAUCCUUCAUGUCAUGUAUUUGAUUUUGGACUGUAUGAUAUAGACUUAAUUUAGGACAUUAUCUUAUUCAUAGUGCUUGUUAAUUAGCUACUUACUGAUUGUAAUUGUCUGGGACUGCUUUUUAAAGACUUUUGAAUGUGAAUUCAUGUGGUUGUACUGUUAAGCAUGAUGAUAGGAGUAAAGAUUAGUCCUUGAGUAAAAUUUCAGAAAUGGACCUUUUAUGUUGAUCGAUAGCAUGCUUAUUAGAAUUAUCAAAACGUGUAACAGUGUGGUAAUAGGCUUUAGGGAAUGGCUUGGGCCCAGAUUCGAGUUGGCCCUGCCUCAUGAUGGGUUCGCUUCAAUUAAUGUCGACCUCUAUGCCUCUCUUCUUUCUCGUUUAAUCUAAAUCGAUUUUGGGUCAUGGUAGUGAUAGAGCUUGCUUUGAAUAAUCAACAAUUCUCCUAUUUGGGCCCCGAGUUUGGCCCAGCUAAGUUCUUGAGGUUUCCAAUCUUUCACUCCUAACCUUGGGGUGUCCUUCAAGCCCAAGUCCUUUAUAGGAUGUUUAUUUCUUUUAGACCCGUGGCGAGUUUGGAUUUGCCCCCGAGUUUAAUUUUAGAUAUAAUGCCUUAUAUAGAUUUGGUUUGGAGCAAUGUAAAUGGAAUUUAACUUGGCUAAAAUUCUUUUUUUUGGUUUAAUUGACCGUGACUUAAUUUUAGAUUGAGGCGUGCCAUAUCAGCAAAUCUUAAUUUAUGGCCCUCUUAAGAUUAGAUCAAGGCUUCUUUAAGAAAGAGAUGGAGGUGUGCCAUAAGCAAGUUAAAUCAUCCAUGGCCCUCACACAUGUCAUAAUUUAUAUAUUAAAAAUAAACUCCGUAGUUUGCUUUAGGCGCGUUGAAUAUAUAAUUAUCAUGACUAUUAAAAUUUGGGGGUGCAUUUAUGUGACCCAGUUCUAAUUUCCAACAAGGUUAAGUAGAACGUGUCGGUGACUCACGAGUGUAUUUCAUGUAGCGUGGCUUGCGAUGUGUUUUAAAUAAAUUAAUUCUUUAAAUAGGUAAAAGCAGUUUUCAAAAGUUAAAAAUGCUCAUAGGUUUUAAAGUGUUUUAAAAUCAGAUAAAUAGGCCAAUAAUAAUAGUUGAGCGACCAUGCUAGAACCACGGAACCUGGGAAUUCCUAACACCUUCUCCCGGGUUAACAAAAUUCCUUACCCGGAUUUCUGUGUUCGCGGACUAUAAAACAAAGUUAAUCUUUCCUCAAUUUGGGAUUUAAAAUCGGUGACUUGGGAUACCAUAAAUUAUCCCAAGUGGCGACUCUGAUUCUUAAAUAAUUAAUCUCGUUUCGAUUGUCACCUAAAUUGGAAAAAACUCCUUUAUACCCUUCUGAGGGUAGUAAAAAGGAGGUGUGACAUCUGGUUCGAUGGUAUCUCUCCCCAUUAUAAUUUUGCAGUGCCACAUAGGCUGAGCUUGACACUUGUAGGGACUAUCAUCAUUUUGGAAGUUAGCUCGAAAAUGACUCAUCUUGUCGACCUUGGGUAUAACGUGCUUCCUACCAGCUUGUCUCAUAACUCGGAGAGGGACGUAAGGGUAUAUUCCUCUCAGACCAAUCAGUAUCAGGAAAGGUGCAUCUCUGGAUUGGGCGAUGAACUCCUCGAUCGGAAACCACUCGAACAUCCAUUAAACCUGUUCUUCAGUCAAAUUAUCAAAUAACUCAACCCAUCCUUUGGCAUUCUCAGGCUGAGCGAACAUAUCNNNNNNNNNNNNNNNAAAUCUCUUGUCGGUACUCGCCCUUUUGGAGAUGUUCCACGAGCUAGAGUUGAAGUAAUAAAUUGCAUCCUUCAAAGUGUUUUUCUCCUCGUUGACACUUCUCCAAGGCUCAGUAUAUGUCUGCAAUGAUCAUGGGCACAAUGUUGAAUGGCUACCCACCAAUCCCAUCUAUUAGGGUAUUAGUUACCAUAGUCAUCCUGGUAUGGAUUCUCCAUUUCUUCAUUGGAAACAUAAUCAGCCCCAGGAAACAAAACAUAAAGACGAAAACCCUUUGAUGGAUGUGUCCCAAGGAUAUGAUGGCAAACUCAUCAGGGUAGGUACAAUAGGAUUUGUUGUGACCGUACCUUUCAUACAGGUAGUCAAAAGGGAUGUAUGACUCCUUCAAGCAUGUCAAUUCUGUAUUCUUCUUCAAACCCAUCAUUUUGAGAAAACCCCUGCCUUUGCGGUUCUUAGGCAUUAGCAAACUCGGAGUCUCCCACACUAGACCAGCUAGUCCUCCUAUCUCUUCUAGCAAAGGCGUCAUUUCAAUGUCCCCAAAGCGGAAGACGACCCAUUUCACAAUCCCAAAAUAGUGUGGCAGCUUCUAUGAUCAUGUUGUUAGGUUGGAUCUCCAGAAGAAAUGGUAGAUUUCCCAGAUAUUUGCAGACGAGAGUUUGGUCACUAGAGGGUAAAUCUCUCCACCAGCUUAGCAAUCUUGGGUGGACAUUGGUGACCAUGCCGAUUCUGGGGACUUCAUACCUCAUAUUUCUACAAGACAAAUAAGGUUAGGCCCUUACCCCCACCAUACUUGACUACUUAAUACCAAAAAUUAGUAUAAAGCAUUUAGUUCUCCAAAUAAAUGCACAGAACGUGGUGAUGUCCAUUUAGGUUCAGGCAAACCCAGUGGACUUUGGACAAUGCUAUCUUAAAGGGUCAUUAUGUGGACAACAUAACUGACCCGGCUAGGUUUGACCAUGAUGCAUGCACAAUUUAAACAGAGUAAGGUUUCUAUAGGGUUUUAGACUGGUACCCUUGAGCGAACAACCCAAGGGGUAAGGCACGGAACUAUCGACUGCACCGUUGAUCGACUAGUUUUACCGCAAAUAUGACUUUUUGAAUUUAGGGGGUAAUGAUAUAGGAAGAGCGCAACCACUCAUUAAAAGCGUUGCUAUAGUAUUUGUUUGGCACGAGUGGAGUGUGAUGUUGAGCAUGAUUAUGCAAUAAUUAAAAAAACAUGCUGACAUGUAUUUGCACGUUAAGAAAGCGAUAAAUACAGCAGUUUUAUAAUUUAAAGCAACAAUAAAGGAGGGAAACAAAGAAGAUAUGUCAAUUUUGCAGCUGAAAAAGAGAUUAAAUGCUUAAAGAAAUUUAAACAAGUAAUUGCACAUAAGGGAGGUACAAAUUCACAAGAACAGUCUGAAAUGGUAAAAGCCUAAACAUCCCCAGCAGAGUCGCCAUGUUGUCGCACCCCCCAUUUUCCCUCCUCCAUCGGAGAGGAGUCCGGCUUUCGACAUUCUUGGGGGUGUAAUGACUCAUUUCCCUUUUGGGAAUUGGGUGUUUUGAAGAGUCACCCCCUAACAAUUUUAAGGUGUGUUUGGGCACCUAUAAGGUUCAACUACAACUAUGUUGAUAACCAGAGACAGGGUAAGGGCUUGAAAUUAUCCUAAGGGGAAGGUGUUAGGCACCCCUCAGGAUCCACUAGUGCGAUUCCUGGUCAGAUAGUUUUUUGUGAAUUUGCAAUUAGCAAGUAAACAAAUAAAGGCUCAAGUAAUAGGGGAUUUAAGUCUAAAUACACAAGUGCAAACAAUUAUUGAAAGGCAAGGCUUUGGAAAAGAGUUAUAAGGUAGACAUACUUAUAAAAAAUAAAAGGGGGCUCCUAGGUUUGUUUGUAAUAUGGAUCACCUCAAUGCAAUACCCGGUAUGACACUCUUCAGAAGAGGGGAUACACGUGGUAUCAGCGCACCGAUCAUCAUAUCCAUAUCUACCCUUCCCACCCCGUGAAGGUAUUAAAGCGCAGAUUGGUCUCCACAUAUAUUGCAUGCUACUACCCAUCCCAUUCCUAUCAGUCCCAGAGGAAUUUAGGACUACUAUUCCUAUAAGAGGGAGGGUUUAGGCUGACCCUUAGGUUUAAAGGUAAAAAGGCUAAGGCGACAUACAAAAAUAUGUAGGACUGCAUCUUGAGGGGGGAACAUAUAAACAAUUAGAAGGCUCAUGUAUACCUCCGCAAACAAUGCAUAUAAAUAGCAUGACUUAAAUACAGUUAAGGUCUGAAUUUUUAAAAAAAUAUUAAAGCAGAGUUUGAGUCAGAACCAGAUUCAUUAUACAACUCAGAAUAGAAGUCUGAAUCAGGCAUGUCUGCUGGUUGUAGCAGUUGGUAAUUAAACAAAGGCAUAUUCCAAUUUUAUUCGAGUAAUUACCUAAGGCUUGCCUAGGCAUAGUAGUGAUGUUCUAUGAGCAUGAUGUCUAUAUUGAUUAGGAAUGCAGUAGAGCAGUGAUUAAUUUUAAAUGGAUAACUCGAGAUCCUAUAGACAUGCUUUCUAACGGUAUUAAUGUAAGGCAGUGUUUGAAGACUUAUUAAAGAAGCAACAGAUUAAUUAACUAAUCCAAUUCAGAAUAAACAACAUGAACUAAACGACUUCUCCAACUACAUUGGUUUUAAGUUCUAUAGGCAUGAUUUCUAUUAUAGCUAUUUAGAUCCUAUAGGCAUGGUAUCUAAGUAUUAAAAGCUGACUUUGGACUUAUAGGCAUGAUUUCUAGGGAGACAAAUCUGAAUAUAUGUUGUAAUGAAAACUGAAAUUCAAUUACUUUACACCAUAUAGGCAUGAUAUCUAACUAUAAAACUGAUUUUAACCCUAUAGGCAUGAUCUCUAUUAUUAAAGCCAUUUAGAUCCUAUAGACAUGGUUUCUAAUUGUGUGAAAGUAAACAUGCAGAAUUUAUUUUAAACCAGAACAAAUCCUAUAGGCAUGUGAUCUAAUAGAUCAUAUUUGAAUCAAAAUAGACCCUAUAGGCAUGUUAUCUACCCAAUUUACCUACAAUACACGGCUACCCACCCUUUUUCACUAAUCAUCCCGACAUUAUUUACAAAUUAUUACAGACCAAAUGAUUGAAUUACAAAAGAAGUGUAGAAAUAAGAAAUUAUAACUAAAGGAAGCCUGAUCUUGACUUCCUCUCUGAGUUAUGUAAUGAACCACUUCAAUGCCAAUAUUUCAAAGUCUUUCUCAUACCUGGGUGAGUCAAAGUUUCCUAAGGACCUCAAGGGAUCCCGGGCAGUGCUCACACCCAUAUUUGCAUAACCAGACAAAAUGAGUGCAGUGUAGAAGGGCUAGCCCUUAUGUGUCCAAGUUCAUAGGGAGCUCAAGGGUCCCAAGGCAAGGCUCACACAAGAGGGGCAGAACCUAGAUUCUAAAAAUAUAGUGGAAGUGCAGAACACAUGUUGAAAGAGAUUUAUUUUAAAAACGGGACUGAUAGUCCGUUUUGAAAGCAAUUAGUAACAGAGGUGAUUGAAAUCAAUUGCAGUAGUAAAACUCACAUCUACAUAGAAUCAGUAGUCAUACAAAGGGGUCAGGGGAUUUUGGGGAUACAUUGCAUGUAAGCACAUGACCCCAGCAGGGGUCUGGUUUGGUCAUGCACAUCAAUAACUGAUGCUGGCAUGGUCACAGACAAGCCAAAAGAACACAAACACAUAGAGGGGAUAUGGGGUUUUGGGAUUCAUAAGACAGCAAGUACACAAAAGUGACUGACAGAACCCAUACAUAUAAGAGCACUAAUCUAAGGGGGAAGGGAGCAUAUUACAACAUGCUAAUAAUGUAACUUGACUGCAAAAAGAUAAGCAGAAGUAGGCAAUAGUGAAAGCAACUAAAAAACAUGUUGUUGUUGAGGCUUUAAAAAUUAACUAGGAUAUACCAGUAGAGAAGCAAAGUGCAGAAAGUAAAAGUAAGAAGGAUUCCACAGUCUAGCCUUGUCUUUCAGCCGGCUAGACAAAGCAGUAGCACAAGUAGUAGUAGAGAAAGAGAGAGAGUUUUGAGUGUAGGUGUGUGUUCUGAACUCAAAUUGUUCGUCUUUAAAGAAGAGAGGAUAGGGUAUUUAUAGUUUUGAAAACAAGUAAAGAAUAAGGUAAAAAGCAAGGUUUUAAUGCAGACAUGGAAACAAUCACAAUCAAAAUCAAUCAAUACAAGUACUUCCCUUUAAUCAGGGAAUUACUGCUCAAACGGAUACUAACAAGGUCAAAUAAAGGAAAGAAAUCAGUUUGGGAUAGAUUGAUUCUUGCCAUAUAAGGGGGCAGUAAAAGUAUGAAGUAAAUAAUUGAGUCUAAGUACAAAAUAUGUUAAUUUUGGGAAAGGAUUCAGCAAGGUAAAACAUCACAGUAAUUAAGGAAUGGAAUCAAUCAAUUUUAAACGAAUGAGUAAAAAUUAGGGUUUAUAAGAGAACCCUUUGCAAUCAGUCGUAAUAUUGAGGAAAUCAAGAAUAAUUGAGAAAGAAUCAUGACUCUGCACUUCAGCGUAUAAAUAGAACGAACAGAAAUAUCAGACAUGCAAAACGCAUUGGCAAAAGAAACAACUGGAUGCAGAAAAACAUGCAGCAGUAACAAGAGUAAGCUAGGGCUCAGUAGUCAACCAAGUCAAAUAGUCAGGGCUCACACUUAGAGCCAAAGUGAAGAAACCAGUCCAACAAGUAAAGAGAGUUAGAAACAAGUAAAGAUCUCACAGUAACAAGUGAGGAAAACCUUUUAAGAAAUUAGAGUUUCCACAAUAAUAAGAACUUAGAAUUAGAUAAGUCGAACAAAGACAAACAAAGGCAUCUUCAGAACUCGGAUAAACCAAAACACUUAGGCUUUUUAAUAUGAGGAACCAGAUGGAAGAAAAAUAUAAGCAAAUCGUUUAAACAAAGUAAAACAUUACUGAAAAAUCGGAGAAGAGAUCUUUGAAAAGAGUCUAAGAAACCCUAGUUUGAAAACGAAGAGUCACUUCGAAAGAAAACCGAAAACUCUUUUUGAAAAACAUCAAGAAGUUCAUAACAUGCAUAGAUCUAAAAUAGAUCUGAAAGAAAAAUUGAAAAACUCUUAGAGCUAGGGUUUCAGAGAACCCAGAGUAAGUGAAAAACUUUGAAAAGUUACCGAUCAAGCCGGAAAAGUCAAGGAUCUGACUCAAACAGCCAUGGAUGGCAGGAGAAAGGCCAUAGAUAGAAGUUGAACCAAGACUGAACUAGAUCCCUUUGAUAUCUGUCCAUGGAAUCACAAAAAUAGGUAAUCAGCAGACAUAGGAGAUGAGUACACACCUCAAAUCGCCAUGGGAGUCCAUGAAUUAGGUAGGGAUUGCAAGGGAUUAGGGUGGAAUUGGGUGGCGUCAGCUAGGGUUUAUGUGAGGCUGCAGAGAGAAUUGAGAGGAGAGGGAUUCAAAGGCAGCGGGUGGUGAGAAAUGAAUUAGGUUAAGGGGCCAUUUGGGUUUAAUUAUGGAAGGGUGAAUGGUGGCCAUUGAUCUGAAUGAUCAACGGCCUAGAUUAAAAGGGUAGGUCGGGAAUCCGGGUUUGGGUAGGGUUAAAUUUGGGCUAGGGUCGGGUUUAAUUAAGGAUUGGGCUGGGGAAUUGGGGUUCAAUUUAGGCCAAAAUUUAAAUACAAAUGGGUUGUUAUUUAAAUAGCUAAUUUUUCACUUUUUAAAUUAUAAAAAAUAGUAAAUAAUUUCUAAAAACUAAAUUAAAAGGGCUAAAAUGAUUUAUAACAAAUAAUUAACAAUUUAAAAAUACAAGCCUCAAUUUUAUGAAUAUAACACACAAUUAAACCUUAAAAUGCCUAAUAUUGCAAUUAUAUGCAAUUUAGCCUUAAAAUACUAAAUAAAAUUGAAAAAAUAUGUAAAAAUUAUUUUAUCCAUAUUUUGGCAUAAAUAUAAAAAUCUAAUAGAUGAAUUAUCAAAAUAAUAAUUUUGAAAACAAUUAUUGGGGAUUUUAUGGAUGAAAAAGGGAAAUAAAUCAAUUUAAAAACCUUAAAAAUUAUGGGAAAAAUAAUAAAACACUUGGACAUGCUUAUGUAUGUAUAUAUAUGCUAUUUUGAAAGUAUUUUGCAUACUAAAAAUAUAUAGGGAAAAAUUGGGUAUCAACACUCACUGGUAUGAAUGGUCGCCCAAAAGCAAAGGAUCGAAAGGUAUUAUAACAGGAGAACAAACCUCCGACAUAUUGGAGUCGGGGACUUGGUCCUAAGGAAAGUCACCCUCAACACCCAAAACCCUAACAAAGGAAAGCUAUGCCAAAAUUAGGAAGGACUGUACCGCGUCCUAGGAGUAAUCGGCAAAGGGUCCUACAAACUCGGUACCAUGGAAGGCAAACAACUUCCAAGAAAUUAGAACAUAUCAAUGCUGAAUUGAUACUACUGCUAAGGUGUCCGAUGGAAGAAUCUAAAACAUCCUCAAGCUCGAGGACCUCGGGCUCUUAAAAGAAUGCGUUGCACUCUUUUCCUUCGACCAAAUUUUGUCCCUAGAAGGGUUUUACCGGCAAGGUUUUUAACGAGGCAACAUCUAUAUGCUACCUAAGGAAAACUCAAUAAGUAUUCAAGGCUUCUUUUGCAGUCAACCUCAAAUACUGGAGGGCAUCCACCCGAAAGGUCACCUCCUAGGAAAAUCCAAGAAGUGUUGAACGGGGUCUCAAUAGGAAAAUAAUGUACCAGGCCAAACGGUCGGACGAACCGUGUUCGUACAAGAAUAACUGAGUCCCUAACAGCGAAAACAUGUAUACUUGUACCAAUUAAUCAAAGAAUACUUUCUAUCAAAGCAUUUCACGUUUCAAAGAAGCUCGGUAUUUUUGCAAAAUGGUCGCAGAGCCAAAAACAUCCUGAACACUUGGACUAGCGCCAAUAACUCAAAGUCGUAUGACCCCUGGGUCGGAGCUUCAAACUCAUAAGCCCUCAAUGAGGCAACAUCAAGAUCACAAAACAGCCCCAAAGCCAAAAACAUCCCGAACACUCGGGGACUGGCGUCGAAACCUCAAAGAUCACAUGACCUCCGGAUCGAAAAAUACGAAAUCGUAAGCCCUCAAUGAGGCAAUACCAAGUUUAAAAGUAAUGGCUCCCGAGCCAAGAAACUUUCAAUGACUCGGGAACUACUGCCAACCGCCACCCCAUCGACUUAUCAAAACCCGAGGCCAUAAGACCACAUGCGGGCAGCCUCGGUCUCGUAAGGCCUAUAUAAGGCAACAACAGUAUCUGUAAGACCUCAAACAAGGCAUGAACCACACUUAUACUAAGUGACAAUAUGUGUAAGACCUCAAGCGAGGUAUGAACCACACUUGUACCAAGUGACAAUAUCUGUAAGACCUCAAGCAAGGCAUGAUCCGUACUUGUACCAAGUAGCCAAAAUUGUAAGACCUCAAAGGCAUGUAAAACUUGUAAGACCUUACUAAAGGCAUAAACCCGAUCCUAAAGUUAAGGCUAUAUAUCGAACUUGUAAGACCCCUAAAAAGGCAUACCCUCGAUAUAGACGCCGAAACUACUUCACUCAAGGACUGAAAGGCUCCGGCCAAACACAAUGACUACGGUCACAAGGCUGUACCAGCCAAACUAAUGCGACUCGGGGACGAUCGACCGUCGCUAUAAAAUCACAGGCCUUCAAUUACUUCAAAAAGAACCGGUUAAACAGGCUACCCUCGACAUAGGCAAAAGUGCUUCGACCAUGUCAGCUCCAAACUAUAAGGCUUUGAGAUACUCAGCUGCCGAGCCAAACCUCCCGAGAUGCUCGAUCAUCGCCAUAUAAAGACUCACAAUCGAGGUUUCUAUCAAACCGUUGAAAGAGUGAGGCAAACACAAUUCUAAAAAGUCCUUAAUGAGGGAAGAAUAAAGCCUAUAUAAAAGGCCUAAGGGCCCAACGAGUAAGAGCCACUGUCGCCAGCACUAAAAUCGAAGGUCGCACCGAUCCAACGCGUAAGAGCCUAAGGACCAGCUUUAAAUUCAAAAACAUGAGGGUCGAAUGAGCUCGAGUCGAAACCUAACUCGGAGACUGAACCCAAAACAAUUAACUAAAUAUGCCUAAGAGCAAGAGCAUAAGAGAUCAAACGUCGGCUCACACUAAAAGGUCGUACUGACCAAAUGCAUAUGAGCCACUGUCGCCAGUACUAAAAUUGAAGGUCGUACCGACCCAAUGCGUAAGAGCUACUAUCGCCAGCCUAUACAAAAGGCCUAAGGUCCCAACGCAUAAGAACCACUGUCGCCAGCACUAAAAUCGAAGGUCGCACUAAUCCAACGUAUAAGAGCCAGGUCUAACCUGAGAACACUCGGGAACUGACCUUCGACCGUUAUGAGUCGCUAAGCAAUAGCAAAAAUCCGAGGGUCUAACCCAAGGUCUAAGAUCUCGUAUCGAUUAUCAAAAGAAACUACACAUUAUUCCCAAAGGGCAAAUAAGAAAAAACGUGAUAAAAAAUGAAAAGCCUUUUAUACAUAUCGCUCACAGAGGUACGAUUACAAGGCCUUUAAAAAACCCUUACAAGGAAGGAGCCUAACAGAACCCUAAUCUAUCAUUGAGCCUACAUCUUUGAUGGCUCCGUCAGAGGUCGUGCCCUAACAGUUCCCGCUACAGCCCCAGGACCUUCAACGACCUCUUCCCCUCUAGGGAUCCCGCCUUCAUUCUCAUCAUCUCCUAUGCCACUACCCGACACACCUCCAGAAGCAAACAUGGCAGCAGCUUUCUUCUCUAGGGUCUUCACCCUCUCGAGCUCGGCAGGCAAAUUAAUAUUCCCCGCAUAUAUAUCCUCGAGAGUCUGCCUCCGAGAUUCUAACCAACCAUUCUCUACGACUCGAGUCAAUUUCAAUUCGUCCUCCUCAGACACUCUCCCGUCUUGAGCAUCUAUUACAACGGAAUCCUCUUUGUGCAAAGAUAUAAACGCCUCAACCUCAGUUUUGAUCUCGGAUAAUGCAACAACUAACUCAGAAUGGAGACCUCUGUACUUCUCACUAUCCGCCCUUGCGUCAUGAAGCUGGUGCCGGACUAAGGCCAUCUUUUCCUGGAGGGUAUACCUCUCAGAAGUUAUCUCUCUCAUAUGCCGUUUGAGUUCGAGAACUUUGGAGUCUCUGGAUCGGAGAUCCUACCUCAGUAGAGCACCUUCCUUCUCAAGUUGCAUGAAUUGGAUUAAAGAUGUCAAAACGCUGGGAUCUGGCAAACAUUCAGACAAUAGCAAACGGAAAUUAGGUAACCUGUUCAGUAAGAUGAGCCUUCUCACGCUUAUGACGAUUAACCUCAGCCUGAAACCCGACGAAAGUCUGAUUAUAAAGCGCUUGAAGCCAUGAAAAAGACAAGUUAGAAAGACAAAUAUCAGGACGACAGGCAUGAUUUACAAAAACUACCUACUCACAAAGCCUUCUCAUCUCGCUGAAGAUGAGUGAAGCAUCAAGCUCGGGAAUUCCCUCGGGAGAAGAUAAAGGCCUUUCAAAUGCAUCUUUGUCUCCGAUAGUCACCCCCACAUCUGAAGGUUCUUCAUUUAGGGCAUCUUGUGUUCUCUUAGGAGGUAAGGUCAUUCCCUGAGGGGAAUCACUCACGACAACAACACCAACAGGGUCAAUCGGGGCCACCUCUUGUCCCUGCAGGGCUUCAGAACUGGGUUUCUCCGAACCACCUACCAAAUGCGUCUCAGCUCGAAGGACAUUUUGGCCAUCGGGCGGCUCGGGGACAUCACCCAAUACUCCCUCAGUGGCCUCUCUAUCCCAAAUUUGGACCACGGCGACAUCAAGAUCCGGCUCGGGAGCCACCAUCUCUACGGCGUGAGGGUCGAUCGAGUUUUCCCCGCCUCAGAUGCUAUCAAGAAAUUAUUUUCCCCCUCACCUUCAGCUCGGGGACUUUCCGCUACUUCUAGAGUUAGGGUUGUCAGGUCGGCCUUAGUUUCUUUCACCUUGGUCUUCUUGGAUUCUGAAGGUUCAUUCAACGGUUACCUUUUGUCUUUUCUUCCCUUCAUCGGGUCCCAAGGUACCCUCUUCACCAAGAGAUGUUCCCUUCAUCGGGUCCCAAGGUACCCUCUUCACCAAGAGAUGUUCCCUUCAUCAAGGGGACACUCCCCAGACCUACACAAAUGCAAGAGGUAAGCACAGGGAGUAAGUACGCUAUCAGUAGCAAUUCCGAUUAAAAGGUACGACUGCAACAGGAGUAAAGGCUCACAGUGGUCCUUGGCUUCCCAUAGAGCUUGGUACAGAUCAUGCCACACUCGCUCAACGUAUGGGAAAAUUGAGUCCAGCCGACCGACCCAGCCCGAGAGAUUCGUAACCAUGCCAGUGUAAACUACUACGGUUGCAUCAACAGAAAAAUCAGCGUGUAGAAAGAUGUACCUAAAAAGAAGCAAAGAGAUGCUAGAUAACGUAUCUACUUAUGUUUUGUGUUCCACUUUUUGGGGAAUGGCAUCCUUUCUAUCGGGAUCAAGUCCAAAGUCCUAACUCGGAUAAAACAGCUCAUCCACCCUCCAUUCCCGACUUCAUCGAUGCAAGAAAAAAGGGCCAUUGAAGCUCGACAUUAGAGCUUAAUCAGGCCCCCACAAAAUAGACGGGGGUUGUACAUCCUGACUAGGUGAUCGAGGGUGAAGGGCAUCUCCCCAAUCAUGUUCACAUAAUACCUGAUCAUGUAGACAAUGCACCAUAACGAAGGGUGAAUUUGGCUAAGGGGCACCUGACACCGUUGGCAGAAGUCGAGAACCACCGGGUCUAUCGGAGGUAAGGAUGGCCCCACCGGCCCAAGGGUAAAUGGGUAAGUAUACAUACUGAGAAAAUUGGCUUUGUAUGUUGUUAUAUCCUUUUCUCGAUAAGGGAUCUCCACGAGCACUGCAUCCCUCCAACGGCAAUCAGUCCUCACCCUUUCUACGUCUAUUAUUGAGCUAAUAUAUUGAGACACAAGCUCACGACGCCCCGGCUUCGAAGAAGGUUUUUCGACCUUGAAAUCGGAAGCCGUUGCAAAAGACCUUGGAAUGCAUUCCUCAACACGAGGAGGCAUUGAUGUUUUACUUUUAGAUGAAAGCGAGGAGUAGGAGGUUACAUUCCCCUGAGAAGUAGAGGCAGAAGUUUUCGCCAUUCUUAAAAGAUUUCAAAAGACAAAAGGAAAUUGUGUUUCAAAGAAAGAACAAAAGUGAAGGUAGAAGGAACUUUUUUGAGGGCUUGGUGGUGCAGUAAACAAAAAAGAAUGAGAGAAGAGGUAUUUAUAGAGGCCCAAUAUGCACGUUGAAGGAAGCCAAAGGACAGCCAGUAGUUGUAAUCAAUACAAAGGCUUUUAAGGGCUGUCUUUAUGCGACCUUUUGGCACCUUAUGAAUGUCGUCGUUACAGAAGUACCAAAGGGGCAGGAAUUCAAGGUUGUUUCUUAUCACUUUCACUCCAAGAAACGCGAGGACUAUCUGUAUGUGGCAAAAUCAGAGGGUCCAAUUUUCUGUUGUUGCGAUGCCUCGUAAGAACAUUUCAAAGGUCCGAGACUAUGGUCGUUAUUCACCCCCCCCAAGGGCUAUCGACGCUCGACCUCGGGGCAAUGUAGACCAAUGGUUAUGGUGGAAAAGUGAGGUCCCCAAGGCAUGUGACUAAAGCUGACAAGGUCUAUUAGGCUAGUCCAAACCCGCACCAUGGUAUUAAAUGGUUGUACCAGCCCCAUAUCUUUGUAAUAAAUGCAUUUAUACUAUGUUGGAUUCCCCCUCAUAUAAAGGGGAUCCUUAUCAUUUUUUAGGGAUCUGUUGCUCAAUACUAAAUAUACAAAAACAUUCUCUUCUGGUCUCUAACAUAUUCUCUUGAUCUCAUUGCUUCCAUUUAUUGCUUACAUCCAUUGUGUUCUAUUUAUUGUUCAUCAUUUAUUGCUUAUCAUUAAUCAUAAAGAGCCAUUAUGAUAACUCUAAUAACUAUUAGUCCUCCUUCGAUUGCCCUAAGCCGACCUCCAGACUCGACCUCGAGGCCUCAUAUACAGCAACUCGAGGCCCCGACCUCUAGCCACUCGGUUUGAUUAUCACAUCGUCUCUAAGCUAUAAUCUUAUUUUCUAACCUUUUACUUAGCAUCCAUUGCCUAGCAACUAGCAUAAAAAUAGAUCACGUAUUUUUAGAACCACAAAAUCAAAUUUAAUUGUUAUUACCAUUUUCAUAGUAAACAUGAAUAUAAUUUGAACUGGUUUGGAGUUAAAGUUCUUAGUUAAAAGUUACAAAAAUUCUCUACGAUACAUAUCUCACACAAAAGUACAUAAAUACACAAUAUGCGUGUGAUGUGUGGCUAUAAUUCCAUAGUUUCGUACAUCAUUUAUCUUGCAUUAUACAUGAUUUAAUGACAAAUUACAAUUUAUUUGCGUGUAAUGGAGUCUAUUUUAUGUGUAGGUGCAUCGGAAAUGAAAGUAGAGCUAAGGGGAUGCUUAAAUGUCGAAAGUACGCUCAAGAACAGUGAAAAGGAGAAGUAGGGCAAAAGCCAGCUCGACAAGGCUUUAUCCAAGUGAGGCCAGCUUAAAGCCAGGCCUAACCAGGCUUUAUCGAGGUGAAGCCAGCUUAAAGCCAGGACUAGGAUGGCGUUAUCCAGGCGAGGCCAGGACUAGUUGACCUACACAUUUAGGUCUUGUCCUAAACAUAUAAAUAGACCUAAAAGCAUCACUUUUGAAGAAGGGAGAGAGAUGGAGAAGGGGAGAUCGAGUUUGGACACACUUGAGACCUGCGGAGGCAAGAACACACUAGGAGCAAUGUGGAGAAUUCUUCUACGAGUUUUUCAAUUCCUUCUUCCUAUUUCUAUUAUUGGUUAUGAAUUCUAUUAUUGUAGUUAUGCCUACUAUUAUGAAUAGCUAAUUUGUUAUCUAGGGUUUUGAUAGAACCUCUUGAAGGAUGAUUUUUUGUUACGUUAAUAUAGAUUUGUUGUAGUAGUUUCUCUAUUUGUUCAAGUACGUUAUUAUUGUGGUUGGUUAAAGAGCUCUCAAUCAACUGUGCCUAUUUAGUGUGUAUUACUCGGGAGAAAGUGCAUAUUUAGGUAGUUGUUGAACAACAUCACUCCUAACGUAUAUGAGGGAUCAAUACGAAAGGUUUAAAGGUAGGAUUAGGGAUAACGAAACCUUGGGUGCGAUCUAAGUGAGCUGUACUUAAAGCUAGCUAGUGUUAUUUGGGAGAAUAUGUCUAGUAAAUUGUGGUAAUUACUCGGGAGAGAGUUACGACAGUCAGAGCGCUCAUGAUCGGUAGAUAAUACAUAGGCGAAUUUAUAGAAAAUGUAGUGGAAAGGAUUCCGACAAUUGGGAAAUCAUAACUCUAGACCUCCUUAAUCUUUUCUCCAACCCUUAGUAUCUUUAGUUGUUAAUUUACUAUUUUAAUUUAUUAGUUAAUUAGUUAAACACAAGAAUAUUAAUAUCUAUAAGUUAGGAAUUGUUCAAGCUUGUCUUCUUAGUGAUAUUGAACAGUUGUAGCUAAGCCUUAGUUCUCUGCGGGAUUCGACUCUGGACUUGUAAACCGAGUUAUAUUUACAACGACCGCUUAGUCCUUUUUAUAAGACAUAGUUGGGCGUGAUCAAAUUUUUGCACCGCUGCCGGGGAACUAACGGUCUAGUUGUAGGUGUACAUAUUCCCUAGUUUCAAGUUUGAACUUUUAUUUUAUUAUUUUAUUUUUUUUAUUUUAAUUUUAUUUAUUUAUUUGAGAAACAUGGCAUCAUGGAAUUAUGAGAGUUUUGAUGUUGGUAAUUCUACUUUUAAUCUUCCUUAUACAUAUUGUGAAGGAAACCACCAAGGGCAAAAUUAUCAAAAUAUUCCCGAGAAAGAGUUUUGUUCACCAACUCAAUCUUAUGUAUGGAAUGUGUGUGAUAUGUGUGGUAGUCAAGAUGGUCACUUUUAUGGUUGUGCUUAUAUUUCUCUUCUUCCCCCAAUACCUUACUUUGAUGGUUCUUCUUUUUCUGGUGAAGUUAAUGGGAACAAAGAACCCCGGGAAGCUGACCUAAAGAAGAUCGAAGAUAUGUUAAAGUGUCUUUUGGAACAACAUAGUAAAUUACAAUUGCAGAUAGAAAGGCAAGAGGAAACUAUUCACAACUUGAAAGUUCACGUGAGGCAACUGGUUGAAGAUUUUAAUGCUCAACAAGUCAAUAUUGUGAAUAGUAUCCAAGAAAGCGUGAAUUAGAUACAGAAAUUGAGGUGCUAGUGGAGAAGACCAGAGUAGUACACCAACAAUCAAUCGAGCUAGAUUUUGAGGAUGUCGAUGUUGUAGAAGAGANNNNNNNNNNNNNNNNNNNNNNNNNCCCAAUGUUCAUGUUGUUGAGCGCAUUGGUCCACACUCCAAGUAUUUUUCCACAUUGUGUUUGGAUGAUGAUAUGGAAAUAGAGUCGUCCGAGACACUUGAGAAGUGAAGGAAUGAGGAACAAGGUGCCUACAUUCUGGAAUGCUUCUUGCUAGAAAGUCGGGAAUACACAUCUCAUCUGAAGGCCAAGAAGUGUAGAAUACUACAUUAUUUUAUGGGGCCAGUCAGAUUCGUUCCACCACCCCUAGAUCAUGAUCAUAGAGCAGAAUCAAAACUUGGGGUCCACUUUAUAAGUUCAAAUUGCAGGCAGAAAGUGACUCGCGUCGGGCCGCGAUGUUAAAUCAAGCGUUUGUUGGGAGGCGACCCAGCUUUACUGCUUUUUUAUUUUAUUUUUUUAUUUUUUUAUUAUAUUAUUUUUGUAGUGUCGAUUUUUUAUUUUCUAGGAGCAUGAAAAGCAAAGCUAUUGGAAGGAUGCAACAGCAAACCAGUUGGUUGGUACUAAGUGUGAGGUACCCGCACGAAGGACCAAGCCUGGGAGAAGUCUGAGUACCCCAUGAGCUGCUAGUGUUUCGGCCUUUGGCCUACCAGGGAGUUUCUUUUAUCCUCUUAUUAGUUAUGGUGUGCAUUGGGGACGAUGCACAAUUUUAAGUAUGGGGUGAGGAGAUUGUCUGGGUGACUUUCUAUGCUAUUUUAGUUGUGUUAGUUUAAUUGAAUAUUUUUUUUAUUUUUUAGAAAAAACGAAAACAAAAGAUUGGACUUUUCCCGACGAUGGAUAUCCUAGAAAAUUUUCUUGAGGGUUUUUGUCUAAAAAAAGACAAAAAGGUUUUCUUUGUAGGUAGUGUAGUAAGUCCCCUUUGGUUUUUCUUUGUGCCGCGGUUCUUUUUCAAGGGUUUUGUUUGAACCGGGUAUAGUUAGUUUUAUUUUUUUAAGAGUAGGAGCUAGUGUGAGAUGAAUUGAAUUGUAACAAUAUCUCUGAGCUUUAUGAUGCCUUGAGAAUAGAGAGUACUUUGGUUGUGACGCUUAGGCUCAGUUUUUGACUCUUGUAGAAUUACCUUAAAUUGUAUGAUCUUAAAUUUGCUUAAUUACUUUGACUAGAGUGUCUUGAUAAAAACCAAUCAUGAAUGAGUUAUGUGCCAUGUGUGUGAGAGGUUUUGUGUUAUUCUGUACGCUGCAUUUGAUGUCUAGAACUUGCCCUGUGUGUUUGCAAAGCGAAAUAGUAGUUUUGUUCAGUCUUGAAAUUGAUAUAGGCGUUUCUUUGUUGAGCCAGAUAUGUAUAUUUUACCCGCCUAAUUGCUAUGUAAUGUAGUUAACCUCUUUGAGCAUGUAAUCUUAUUUCUUUGGCAACCACAUUACAAGCCUUACCAAUUUGUUUGAAUUAACCAUCUAUUUGAACCUUUUAACCUCUCAUGAACACUUGAAUUAUUAUGAACUUUGUAAAAGUUAAAGUGUGGGGUAGUUGGUUUGGCUUUUGAGUGGAACUAAUGAAAUAAGGAGAAAUGUCCACUGUUUUGAAAAAGUAAGAGCCACUUGAUUUGAAAAGAAAGAAAAAGAAAAAAAUAGUUGUAUUGUUGUGAAAAAAAUAUUCCUUGAUAAGUGGUGGCUUUUGAUGUUAUUAUGCUUAAAGAAGUAUAAAGUUAAUAUAUAUUGAUGUGAAGGUGGAGUUAAGGUUUGAUAUAAGUGUGGGGUUUGAAUGUUAAAAUAUAUGUAUUAAAAUGCUUAGAGAGGUGUAGUCACUCUUAUAUCCAAAUGUAUCCUACCCGACCCGUAGCCUACAUUACAACCAAUUAAAGUCUUACUUGAUCCUAGACUGAAUGAGCUAGAUUAGUAGAGUAGUACACUACGAGCAAGCCUAUGGUACAUCUUUUUGGCAUAUGAAUGUUAUUUCUGAGAGUGAGUGAACUCUUUCUAUCUUGAGUUCCUAAGUGUACUUAAAUUUUAUUGUGUGGAANUANNNNNNNNNNNNNNNNNNNNNNNNNNNNNNNNNNNNNNNNNNNNNNNNNNNNNNNNNNNNNNNNNNNNNNNNNNNNNNNNNNNNNNNNNNNNNNNNNNNNNNNNNNNNNNNNNNNNNNNNNNNNNNNNNNNNNNNNNNNNNNNNNNNNNNNNNNNNNNNNNNNNNNNNNNNNNNNNNNNNNNNNNNNNNNNNNNNNNNNNNNNNNNNNNNNNNNNNNNNNNNNNNNNNNNNNNNNNNNNNNNNNNNNNNNNNNNNNNNNNNNNNNNNNNUUGUGCUUAGUCNAUUUUAAAUGUUCUUGGUGUGACGAGUUAAGGGAAUUGCUAAAAAGGUCAUGUCUAUAAGUGUAGUUUGAUUGCUCUUGGACGAGCAAUGUUUAAGUGUUGGGUAUUGAUGUGUGCCUAUAAUUUCAUAGUUUCGUAUAUUAUUUGUCUUGCAUUGUACAUGCUUUAAUGAUAAAUUACACUUUAUUUGUGCGUAAUGGAGUCUAUUUUAUUUGUAGGUGCAUCAAAAAUGAAAGUAGAGCUAAAGGGAUGAUUAAACGUCGAAAUUACGCUCAAGAACAGUGAAAAGGAGAAGCCGGGCAAAAGCCAGCUCGACCAGGCUUUAUCCAGGUGAGGCCAGCUUAAAGCCAGGCCUAACUAGGCUUUAUCCAGGUGAAGCCAGCUUAAAUCCAGGCCUAGGCUGGCGUUAUCCAGGCGAGGCCAGCUUAAAGCCAUCCCCAAUCCGAGUUUUGAAGGUUUUAAUUGUUUCCCGGCUUGACUAGGAGUUGACCUACACGUUUAGGUCUUAUCCUAAACAUAUAAAUAGACCUAAAAAUGUCACUUUUGAAGAAGGGAUAGAGACAGGGAAUGGGAGAUCGAGUUUGGAGACACUUGAGACCUACGGAGGCAAGAACACACUAGGAGCAAGGUGGAGAAUUCUUCUACGAGUUUUUCAAUUCCUUCUUCCUAUUUCUAUUAUUGGUUAUGAAUUCUAUUAUUGUAGUUAUUGAUACUAUUAUGAAUAGCUAAGUUGUUAUCUAGGGUUUUGAUGGAACUCCUUGAAAGAUGAUUUUCCUAUUACGUUAAUAUAGAUUUGCUGUAGUAUUUUCUCUAUUUGUUCAACUACGUUAUUAUUGUGGUUGGUUGAAGAGCUCUCAAUCGACUGUACCUAUUUAGUGUGUAUUACUCGGGAGAGAGUGCAUAUUUAGGUAGUUGUUGAACGACAUCACUCCUAACGCAUAUAAGGGAUCAAUACGAAAGGUUUAAAUGUGGGAUUAAGGAUAACGAAACAUUGGGUGUGAUCUAAGUGAGUUGUACUUAAAGCUAGCUAGCUUAAUUCGAGAGAAUAUGUCUAGUAAAUUGUGGUAAUUACUCGGGAGAGAGUUACGACAGUCAGAGCGCUCAUGAUCGGUAGAGAAUACUUAACGAAUUUAUAGAAAACACAGCGGGAAGGAUUCCGACAAUAGGGGAAAUCAUAACUUUAGACGUCCUUAAUCUUUUCUCCAACCCUUAGUGUCUUUAGUUGUUAAUUUACUAUUUUAAUUUGUUAGUUAAUUAGUUAAACACAAGAAUCUUAAUAUCUAUAAGUUAGGAAUUGUUCAAGCUUGUCUUCUUGGUAAUAUUGAACAAUUGUAGCUAAGUCUUAGUUCUCUGUGGGAUUCGAUUCCGGACUUGUAAACCGGGUUAUAUUUACAACGACCGCUUAAUCCUUUUUAUAAGGCAUAGUUGAGCGUGAUCAGUGUGCAUCAACUUCAUAUUCUUCCUUCGAACCAUAGCUCAAAUUUCAACUCAAAACAACCUCAAAGUUUCACCAAUAGUCCCUACACCCAAUUGAAAUAAGUCAUAAUUAUGCAUAUUUAACCCAACCUUCAAGUUCUUCAAUAGCUUGAAAUGGACUUCACUUUUCAAGAAACACAAAAUUAACUCUAAAAAAAUGUACUCAUUCUAUUCCAAUAACACGCUUGAAGUAAUUUAUCGUUUCUGAAUAUAAACUUCUGCAAAUUUUUCAAACGUAAAUUGGAUGGAGACCUAAUCUCAUUAUUUCAAGGGUGUACAGUAAAUUGAAGAAUUAAGAAAGUGGAAAUUUUAAGGUCAAUUGGAUUAAUGGAUAUAACGCCCCACUGUGUGAAUGACAUAGCUUCUCUUCUCGGAACUUUUGAAUUGUUUCAGUUUUCAAUUCUUUGAAAUUUGAGGAUUUUGCGUGAGAAUUUAGCCGGAGAAGCGGACAAGAAAGAUUAGCCACUUUAUAACUAAAAAGAAUAAAAAUUUGGCAUUUUAUGAGUGGACUAAUUUCUCUACUUUAGAAGAGCAAGACUUUCGACAUGUCUGCUAGGAAUCUUUUUAAACAAGUUUGAGGGCACUUCAGUCAUUUCUCAUCGGCUAUAUACAUGCCUUUUUGUGCUCUUCCGAGAUAUACGUGUACGUUUUUUGCUACUCUCAGAUGUAUGUUUUUCUUCUCUUUCAACAUAAACAUAUUCCUUAGCAAAGCACACACAAGAAAAUGCAUCAGAGAAAUGACCCAUCAUAAGAUCAAAUCGAAAUCAGGUAAAAGUUCCUUUCUGAAGUUCAGAUUCGAGUUUGAUUCAAAGUUAUUUUGCUCGAUUAUUGCUCUGUAUCAGCUUUGCUCCUUGGUUUCUAGCUUUUAAUCCAUUCUUUUUGGUUUUGGCAUUUGUUGGCCUGUGAGUUGUGUUUGUACCUGUGAUUUGUGCUGAAUUUUCCCACUUUCUCUCUCAAAUCUCAGGUAAAUUUCUUAGUCUUUAAUAUCAAUUUUGUUAUUUUCUAUGUGUUUUUUCUCCUUUUUUUUUGUUCCAAUUUGUUUCAACUCACACAACAUCCGAAAAUUUCAAAGGAAUAUUUUUUUUUAACAGACACUGCUGUGAAUAAAAUAUGGGGUUUUGAUAAUUGAUAAAAAUCUGUUUUUUUCUUUUUGUGUGUGUUUGGGAGUGGAAUACAACAUGAGUUUUUGAUAUUAAAGUUUUUUGUUUGUUAUGUGGGUUUGUCAUUGAAGUGUUUAUACAUUUCAGUCUGUAUUUGUUUUUUUUGUUCUUGUGCUAUAUUUUGCUGCUUACUUUUUUUGUGAAAUGGUUUGUUAGUUUGGUUUGGAAAAUGGAGGUGAAGAACCACUAUCGAAUUUCUGAAAUUUAGUGAUUUGGAACAUGAAGGUUAAUGCCCCUCCCAUCUUCUUAGCCUUCUUACCUGUAGAGUUAUGAACAGAGACUAUUGUUAGUGCUCAAAUCUCAAACAAAGAAGAUAAAAAAGACAAAUGAUGUUUGUCAGAGUGAUAGGUGAACAACAAAGAGCAUAUGGCACACUAUCUGUAUACUUCAACAUCCAAGAAAUAUCUGAAUUUGUGUACUUCAACAUAAGAAAAGGAUAGAUUACUAUAGACAAUAGACCACUAAAAGAGUAAAAGUAGAUCCUCUAAGACCUUUAUAUGUUAGAAGUACUUCAAAAUUCUGUAUUUACAGUCUAUCAAGAAUUCCAACCAAGGCAAAAUGAUUAUACUUAUCAGAACAGAACACCAGCAUGGACACUCCAUUUUGGUAACAGAAAGGAGUAGUACUGGUAUAAGCCAUUUUUUAUUUGGAAGACAAGUAUUGCGUUCAAUUAGAAAGGCAUGGUUUUCACUUUUCAGUAUGUUUCUUCAUAGGAUAGCUUCCACCACAAGUUCUCUCCAUUGACAGAUAAUAAAAGUCUUUAGAUGCAGUGGCGAAGCCAGAAAUGUUUUCAAGGGUGUUCAAGGUUGAAAGCAGUUGAAAAAAAAAUUCCGACAAAGGAUGUUCAGUAUAGGUUUUAUAUAUCUAAAAUCAAUAUUUUACUUAUACACACAGUGUAAUUUUUUAUAAUUUUUCGGUGAAGGGUGGUUAGUUGAAGUAUCGGAGUGAGUAAAAGGGAUAAAUAAAUGAAUGCAUGAAUGAGAACCUACUCGCCUUCCCUUCUUUCUCUCGCUAUUCACUCUGCCCUCCUCCAUAUUUCUUCCUUUUCUGAUCUCUCUUUGUUGCCUGACCACAUGUUUCUUGAGCUUUUCGUGUAACAACCUUUCUUUAUUACUUACUUCUUUUUAUCUUACUUAUUUCUUAUUUCUUAUUUUUUUCAUCUGUCAAUUUGAUAUGAUUAGGGGUCUCUCUUUUUUCUUUCUCUGUUUAUUUUCUUUUGUUGGGCUUUUGCUAUCCAAUGUAGUCGAUGCAAAAUAUUUGAAAUGUAAAUUACCGGAAUUAGCUUUGUAGCUAGACUUGCUAGCUAUCUAUUUUUGAGAUUUCCUUUGUAAUUUCGGGGUUUUACAUCUUUCAAUUUGGGAUAGGUUUUAAUCUUUUUGGGUUGAUAUAAACUAAAGGAAGUAUAUUUGUGGCUUGCAUCUAUCUAUCUAUUUAUUUCUGAACUUACAUUUGGGGCAAGUUUAAUCUCUUUGGAUUAUGAGCCCGUUUGGAUUAGCUGGAAAAAAGUAGCUUUUAAGUACAACUGCUUAAAAGCAGCUUUUAAGUGCUGAAACUUGUUUUAUAAAUAAGCAGUUACCUGUUUGGAUAAAAGUGUUGAAGCUUAAAAAAAACUGUUGAAGUGUUUUGUAAACAAGUGUUGGCAAGAACUUUUUUCUAUUAAAAAGACAGAAAUAUCCUUAGAGCUGUUAACAUUAUAAAGGAGCUGAUUACUACAAUAUAUUUGAUUUAUAUAAUAAAUAUAAAUAAAAAUAAUUUAUAUUUUAUUUUAAUUUCAAUUUAAAUGAUUACUUAAGAUAGUUUUUACAAAUGUAACUCUUGAACGCUCAUUUUUAGUUUGUACAAACGAGGAAAAAAUUGAAAAUCUGGGUAAAAAUGGUUCUAUUCAGCUAAGAUUGCCUGUUAAUUCAUUUUUUCCGAUGCGCAUGCAAGGAAAAAAAGAUAUAACCAUUGAGUAUGCGUCUAGCGGGUUCUCGUGGGAUGUUUCUGUGACGACCCGGCCAGUUGUCUCAUGAGUUGCCGCUCCAUUUCCCCCAUUUCUGCUUCUUUAUGCUUCGUUAUCCGUGAUUUAUGUGGUCGAGUUGAUUGGUUUGCGUUCGGAGUGGAUUUGGAAAGAAAUGAGACAAUUAGUCUCUUUUAAGAAAGUUUAAGUUGGAAAAGUCAACCGGAUGUUAUCUUAUGUGUUAGAGGGCUCGGGCGUGAGUUCCGAUGGUUCGGUUAGCUUCGAGAGGUGAUUUAUGGCUUAGGAGUGAGAUCGGAAUUGGUUUUGGAGGUCCGAUGUAGAAUUUGGUUUGAAUUGGCGAAGUUAGUAUUUUGGCGAUUUCCGAUUGGUAGGCGAGAUUUUGAUCCGAGGGUCGGAAUGGAAUUCUGAGAGUUGUUGUAGCUUCGUUAUGUCAUUUGGGAUGUGUGUGCAAAAUUUCAGGUCAUUCGGACAUGGUUUGGUUGGAUUUUUAUCAAAAGCGUGUUUCGGAAGUUUUUAGGAAACUUAGGCUUGAAUUCGAUGAGUUUUUGGUAAUUUAAUGUUGUUUGAGGUGUUUUGAUGAUUGGAACAAGUUCAAAUAAUGUAUUGGGUCAUGUUGAUACUUUUGGUUAAGGUCCCGGGGGCCUCGGGGUGAUUUCGGAUGGCUAAUGGGAAGUUUUGGAACUUGGAUGAUUGCAGAUUUUCUGAUGCUUUUGGUGUUUUCGCACCAGCGGUUUGGUACCGCAGGUGCGGUCUCGCAGAUGCAUUGCUUGGGUCGCAGAAGCGGAAGGCUGAGGGAGUCCUGUUAUCGCAGAUGCGGAAAAGGGGCCGCACCUGCGGAGCCGCAGAUGCGGCGAGUGGACCGCAGAUGCGGUGUUGGUCCGUUAAGUGAAAUUCCGCAGAUGCGGAGAAAUGACUUCAGAAGCGGUACUGCAAAAGCGGGUAUUGGACCGCAGAUGCGGUUAGGACUGGGCAGAAUGUAUAUAUGUUUCUUCUUUGUGAUUUUUGAAGGGUUUAUUCAUUUUUAACUUCGGACUUGGAGUUUUUGGGAAAUUUUGAAGAGAGAUUUCAAGGGAACUUCGAUAAGGUAAGGAUUUUGGACUUAAAACACACUUCUAUGGUGAUAUUUCAUGAAUUAGGACUGAAAUUUAAGGAAUUAAUAGACUAAAAUGGAGGUUUAAGGCUUGAGUUUAAGAGAGCUUAAAUUGGGGAUUUGAGGGGCCAAUUGAAAUCCGAUUCUUGUGAUUUUUAUAUGUAUGAACUCGUGUGAAGAUGAGGAAUUUAAUGAUGUGAAAAUUUCUGAGUUUCGAGAAGUAGGCCCGGGGCUCGGGUUUAGCUAAUUUCGGGAUUUUUGAUANNNNNNNNNNNNNNNNNNNNNNNNNNNNNNNNNNNNNNNNNNNNNNNNNNNNNNNNNNNNNNNNNNNNNNNNNNNNNNNNNNNNNNNNNNNNNNNNNNNNNNNNNNNNNNNNNNNNNNNNNNNNNNNNNNNNNNNNNNNNNNNNNNNNNNNNNNNNNNNNNNNNNNNNNNNNNNNNNNNNNNNNNNNNNNNNNNNNNNNNNNNNNNNNNNNNNNNNNNNNNNNNNNNNNNNNNNNNNNNNNNNNNNNNNNNNNNNNNNNNNNNNNNNNNNNNNNNNNNNNNNNNNNNNNNNNNNNNNNNNNNNNNNNNNNNNNNNNNNNNNNNNNNNNNNNNNNNNNNNNNNNNNNNNNNNNNNNNNNNNNNNNNNNNNNNNNNNNNNNNNNNNNNNNNNNNNNNNNNNNNNNNNNNNNNNNNNNNNNNNNNNNNNNNNNNNNNNNNNNNNNNNNNNNNNNNNNNNNNGGCAAAGGCGUCGCGAGCUAGAGUUGUAGCCGGUUCGAGGUGAGUAAUGAUUGUAAAUGAUGUCCUGAUGGUUUGAAACCCCGGAUUGCACAUCGUUGUGCUGUAUUGAGGUAAGACACGUACUGGAUGAUGAGCGUGGGGUCUUUUACUACUGGGGAUUGUGACUUGGUCUGUCCCGACUGAUGAUUUUACCGUGUAUUUGAUUGAAACUUAUUUGUUAUCAUCAUGAUUUGGGCUGAUUGCCAUAUUUGGGCUUCGUGCCAACUAUUUGAACCCUUUGGGGAUUUUUUGACUGAUUUUCCUCACUCUACUUGUUAAAAAAAAUCAUAUCCUCAGUCAUGUUUCUAUCUGUUUUUAACGAUUUGAGCCGGUUUUAUCAUUCUAUUCCUAAAUGAGAGGAAUUUGUGGGCUGAUAUCCCUACCUUCUAUUAUUGUGCCCGAGAAGCUGUGAGGUUAAUGACUGAGAGGGGUUGAGAACCCAACAGUGAGGAUAUUAUAUAUGUUAUAGAUCGGGUUUCACGCCGCAGCAAUACUUAUAUGGAUCGGGCUGCACGCUGCAGCAAUAUAGUGCUUGGGCUGUAGGAGCCCCUCCGGAGUCUGCAUCAGCAAUGUACGAUUCGGGUUGCACGCCAUAGCGGUUAUCUCUGAUUUCUGUUAUUGUGAGAGAUAUAUGAGUCGAGUGCUAAGAAUGAGUACUAAGUGAUUGAUAUUGUGCCCGAGGAGCGGGUCUCUACUUGUUAUUUAUUUGCUAAACUACCUGUUUUACUUGAGUUAAAGAGAUUUCAUUUGACUUCUUCACUGAUUUACCGCUUUAAGUGAUUUUACUGCUUUGAUAUAGAAUUGCUUUGUGCCUUUACGUGUUUUCAUGCUUUCAGCCAUUAUUUAUAAUUAUUACUCACUGGGUCGAAGUACUCACAUUACUCCCUGCACCUUGCGUGCAGAUCCAGGUGUUUCAGAGGCUGAGUGAGAGUUUUCCCGUUGAUCAACAUUUGCCGGAGUUAUCGAAGUAGCUGCAUGUAAUCCGUAGACCCGAUUUCUCCUUCUAUCUUAUUACUUUCCACAUUCCUAGAUUAUUUAUGUAUUAGGUUGUUCAGACUUGUAUUAGAGGCUCUUGACUUGUGACACCGGAUCAAUGUGGGCUAGGUAGUGGUAUUAUCUUUGGACUUCCGCAUGUUUAACUUACUGUUUUAGACCUUUAUUAUGCUAAAUUGGUAUUUAAACUGUGUUAGCUGGUAAUGAAUUUAUAAGAAAAUGGGUUGUGGUUGAUAGUUGGUCAGGCUUGCCUAGCAAUGUGUUGGUCUGCCAUAAUCGUAUUUUUCUUGGCAUCCCAUCCUAAAUCUGUCUCCCCUCUCAUCAAUUGCUUAAAAAUUGUCCAUUCACCUUUCAUGUAAUCCCAAUAAUUUUU
rnacentral:lncRNA from 1 species